GGAGGUGUGGCUCAGUCGUAGAGCACUGGCCUAAUAUGUGCAAGGCCCUGGGUUCCAUCCCCAGCACCACAA
rnacentral:tRNA from 1 species